GUAGGUGAACCUGCAGAAGGAUCA
rnacentral:rRNA from 5 species